ACGUAGGGGGCAAGCGUUGUCCGGAAUGAUUGGGCGUAAAGGGCGCGUAGGCGGCUUUAUAAGUCUGGAGUGGAAGUCCUAUUUUCAAGGUAGGAAUUGCUUUGGAAACUAUAGAGCUUGAGUGCAGGAGAGGUUAUCGGAAUUCCCGGUGUAGCGGUGAAAUGCGUAGAGAUCGGGAGGAACACCAGUGGCGAAGGCGGGUAACUGGACUGCAACUGACGCUGAGGCGCGAAAGUGUGGGGAGCAAACAG
rnacentral:rRNA from 1 species